rnacentral:lncRNA from 1 species
CUUUAGAGGCAGCAAACGGCUGUGCCUGAAACGGCAUCUAAGCACUUCUGUGUUUAGAUGUAUCUGCCUGUCUACCUUAAAAUGAAGGCUCACUACCUGAAAAAUGGAAACAGAAGCUUAAGAAAUAACAAACAAAUUCCCUGCUGGUGGAGGGAAGAAGAAGAGAGAUGAUCCUAAGAUCUAACAAUACCAGAACAUCUGUGAAAAAGCAGGUUCACCUUACCACACAACAACAACUAAAGAGCAGAGUGAUUUGCCCUGUGUCCAGCAUGGAUUCAUUGUGUACCUGUUCUAAAUUAUAAAAGAUGUGGUAUUUUUUUCUGAACCAAUUAAGACUAGUCACCAGCACAGCA